CCUACGGGAGGCAGCAGUGAGGAAUAUUGCUCAAUGGCCGUAAGGCUGAACCAGCCACGUCGCGUGAAUGAAGAAGGAUCUCUGGUUUGUAAACUUCUUUUAUAGGGGAAUAAAGGUAUCCACGUGUGGAUAUUUGCAUGUACCCUAUGAAUAAGCAUCGGAUAACUCCGUGCCAGCAGCCGCGGUAAUACGGAGGAGGCGAGCGUUAUCCGGAUUUAUUGGGUUUAAAGGGAGCGUAGGUUGUUUUUUAAGUCAGGGGUGAAAGUUUGUGGCUCAACCAUAAAAUUGCCGUUGAAACUGGAAGACUGGAGUGUGGUGGAGGUAGGCGGAAUGCGUGGUGUAGCGGUGAAAUGCAUAGAUAUCACGAAGAACUCCGAUUGCGAAGGCAGCUUACUAAGCCAUAACUGACACUGAGGCACGAAAGCGUGGGGAGCAAACAGGAUUAGAUACCCCUGUAGUC
rnacentral:rRNA from 1 species